rnacentral:tRNA from 1 species
GGGAGUUUGGCCGAGUGGUUAAGGCGCUGUGUUUAGGUCAUAGUAAGUCCAGCCUUGUGUUGACUUAUACCAUAAAUCCCGCAGUGGGAAACCGCGCAGGUUCGAAUCCUGCAGCUCUCA